UCAAAAACAUGUCUUUUUGAAAAUAAUUUAAAGUCUAAUCUGCCCACUGAUAUAAUUAUUAAAGGGCUGCAGUAUAUUGACUGUACAAAGGUAGCAUAAUCAAUAGUCUUUUAAUUGAAGACUUGUAUGAAAGAUUUGAUGAGAUAUAAACUGUCUCUAAUUUAUUAAUAAAAAUUAAUUUUUUAGUUAAAAAGCUAAAAUAAUAUUAAAAGACGAGAAGACCCUAUAAAGUUUUAUAAUUUAUUUAAUUAAUAUUAAAUGUAUAAUUAAAUUAUAUUAAUUAAUAUAAAUUAUUUUAUUGGGGUGAUAGAAAAAUUUAAUUAACUUUUUUUUUAUUAUAAACAUUGAUAAGUGAAAUAAUGAUCCAUUAUUAAUGAUUAAAAGAAAAAAUUACUUUAGGGAUAACAGCGUAAUAUUUUUUUUUAGUACAAAUAAAAAAAAAAGUUUGCGACCUCGAUGUUGGAUUAAGAUAAAAUUUAAAUGCAAAAGUUUAAAAUUUUGAUCUGUUCGAUCAUUAAAAUCUUACAUGAUCUGAGCU
rnacentral:rRNA from 1 species